rnacentral:rRNA from 1 species
AAUCUGGGGUCCCCCGACCCCCGAGUUGUAAUUUGGAGAGGCAUCUUCGGGGGGGAGCGCUGGCCCAUGUUCCUUGGAACAGGACGUCGCAGAGGGUGAGAAUCCCGUGCCAGGCCGGCUGCCUCCUCCCAGGUGGAGGGCCUUCGACGAGUCGAGUUGUUUGGGAAUGCAGCUCCAAGUGGGUGGUAAAUUUCAUCUAAAGCUAAAUACCGGCGGGAGACCGAUAGCGCACAAGUAGAGUGAUCGAAAGAUGAAAAGCACUUUGAAAAUAGAGUCAAAAAGUACGUGAAAUUGUUGAAAGGGAAGCGCUUGAGACCAGACUCAGACCCGAGCAAACACCGCGCCCCUCGGGGCCGUGCAAUUGCCUGGGGCUGGGCCAGCAUCAGUUGGCGUGGCGGGACAAAGGCGCGGGGAAUGUGGCUCCCCUCGGGGAGUGUUAUCAGGCCCGCGCUCAAUGCCGCCGCCGCCGACUGAGGACCGCGCCUCGGCUAGGAUGCUGGCAUAAUGGCCUUCAGCGACCCGUCUUGAAACACGGACCAAGGAGUCUAACAUCUAUGCGAGUGUUUGGGCGUCAAACCCUUGCGCGGAAUGAAAGUGAGCGGAGGUGGGAACCCCUUCGCAGGGCGCACCAUCGACCGAUCCUGAUGUCUUCGGAUGGAUUUGAGUA